CAGUGUUGUGGAUAUAUUUAGAAAGAAAGAGCAUGACGCGUCAGUUAGGAUCCAGAGCUGGUUUCGAGGAUGCCAAGUCCGAGCAUACAUCAGGUAUUUACAUAGACAAGCAACUAUUAUCCAAAAACGGUGGCGAGGUUACUUAGGCAGACAACAUUUUUAUCGCCUUGUGAAGGAUAUGUUGAAUCAUUCACCAUUGCCAAGACAGGAUGCCCUACAGCAGUCAGCAAGUGUUUGCUUAAUUGCCUGGAAUCCCUUCUUUAUUCGGACUGGCCUGCUGGUCUAAGGCUGCUGGUCCUCCAAGACUUCCCUUCGGUUUUCUCGGAUCUUCCAAAGCCGAGUCCAAGACAGAGGGAGACUGCAAACACUGUAUUAGGCAUGCCUUCCACGUGCUCUGUCCACAUGCUGCCUCUGCUGCUUGCUGUCACUCCUGUGGGAGGCCCUGAAUGCCGUAACUCUCCCGUUGAUGGUAUCUCUGACAGAGCCAGAGAACGGCACAGGAAAGCCACACACUUGCUGACUAAACCAAGGAAUGACUCACAGGUGUCCCCUUGGACAUGGGGGAGACCUUUGGCCAUGGUCAGUGUGGAUGGUGCAUAGUGUCACUUUGGGCAAAAAUUAUCCACCGCCCCCUUUAUCAUAUCCACCCCCCAUUUCGUAGACUUGGACUAAGUCAAGUGUGUCUGCAGAAGGGACGCAGACCACCCCAGCUGAGGCUUACUGAGGCUUUGUGUCCCCUUCUUGCGCAUGGCUAGUUCACCUCAGAUUUGAGCUGCGUCUAGCCCUGAGCCAAGCGCAAGAGAUGCAAGGAGUCCUCACUCAUAUGGAAUUUGAGUGAGAGGUACACUUUUUAUGUAGUGGGAAGCUACUGUGAGAGCUGCAUUUUUAUCUCAGCAAAGCUUAUUUGUGGUCGUAAUGAUAAGAGCAGGGUGUUUAUAGGAAACAUUUUGAAACUCAUGCGAAGAUGCUUAGAGUUUUUGGAGUUUGUGGUGAUCCUAGGACACCUCCAUGUGGUGAUAUCUUGUAAGGAGAUUUUGCUAUGUCAGUCAGAGUGCCCAGCACAGCAUAAUCACAUGCAACAAAUGCUUAU